rnacentral:rRNA from 1 species
GCAUAUCAAUAAGCGGAGGAAAAGAAAAUAACAAUGAUUCCCUUAGUAACGGCGAGUGAAGGGGGAAAAGCUCAAAUUUUAAAUCGGCGUAGGUUUUACCUAGUCGAGUUGUAAUUUGAAGAAGCGUUUACCGCGUCCUGGUCGACCCAAAUCCUUUGGGAUAAGGUAUCAUGGAGGGUGAGAAUCCCGUCCGGUUGACCUCAGGAUGUUUUACGUUACGCUCUCUAAGAGUCGAGUUGUUUGGGAUUGCAGCUCAAAAUGGGAGGUAAAUUUCUCCUAAGGCUAAAUACAGGCGAGAGACCGAUAGCGAACAAGUACCGUGAGGGAAAGAUGAAAAGAACUUUGAAAAGAGAGUCAAACAGUACGUGAAAUUGUUGAAAGGGAAACGAUUGAAGCCAGUCGUACCGUCGGGAAUUCAACUUUUUGAGCGCUUGUCGUGGGUGAUGUAGAGCCUCACGGCCUUCGUUGCUUUGCGUUAUGGUGCUUUUAGGGUGUACUUUUCCGUAUGGUAGGUCAAUAUCGAUUUUGAUCGUCAUAAAAUGAUCGGAGGAAUGUGGCUUCGAUCUCGUAUCGGAGUGUUAUAGCCUUUGGUAGAUGUGACUAUUGGGAUCGAGGAUUGCAACGAAUACCCUUUGGGCUAUCCGUCUGACCUCUGAAAGUCGCUCGGGUGUUGAAAGCGUGCUUAUGACAUUCUAGUUGGCGGUCAAAAGGUUAGAACGCGAUUACAUUCGUUAAGGAUGUUGACGUA